AUUAGGUUGGUGCAAACCUAAUUGCAAUUUUUGCAGUUUUUUAAGUAAUUGCAAAAACUGUAAUUACUUUUGCACCAACCUAAUA